rnacentral:rRNA from 1 species
UACGGGAGGCAGCAGGGGGAAUAUUGCACAAUGGGCGCAAGCCUGAUGCAGCCAUGCCGCGUGUAUGAAAAAGGCCUUCGGGUUGUAAAGUACUUUCAGUCGUGAGGAAGGUGUUAAGGUUAAUAACCUUAGCAAUUGACGUUAGCGACAGAAGAAGCACCGGCUAACUCCGUGCCAGCAGCCGCGGUAAUACGGAGGGUGCGAGCGUUAAUCGGAAUUACUGGGCGUAAAGGGCACGCAGGCGGUUAAUUAAGUUGGAUGUGAAAUCCCCGGGCUUAACCUGGGAAUGGCAUUCAAGACUGGUUAGCUAGAGUCUUGUAGAGGGGGUAGAAUUCCAUGUGUAGCGGUGAAAUGCGUAGAGAUGUGGAGGAAUACCGGUGGCGAAGGCGGCCCCUGGACAAAGACUGACGCUCAUGUGCGAAAGCGUGGGGAGCAAACGAGGGAUUAGAUACC